rnacentral:rRNA from 1 species
UACAGAGGGUGCAAGCGUUGUUCGGAAUUACUGGGCGUAAAGCGCGUGUAGGCUGCGACGUAAGUCAGGUGUGAGAGCCCUCAGCUUAACUGAGGAAGUGCACUUGAUACUGCGUCGCUUGAGUGUCGGAGGGGGUGGCGGAAUUCCCGGUGUAGAGGUGAAAUUCGUAGAUAUCGGGAGGAACACCUGUGGCGAAGGCGGCCACCUGGACGACAACUGACGCUGAGACGCGAAAGCGUGGGUAGCAAACAGG